CCCGGCCCGGGCGCCGCCGGCGCUUCCUGCUCGCGACUUCCUGGGGCGGCGCGCGGAGGCCCCGGCGGCCCUUUCACUUUCCUGAGGCAGCGGGGCGCCCGGCCGGGCGGUGGCGGCGGCGGCGGCGGCGGCUCGGCCCCUCCCCCUCCGACUCAUCCCCUCGCCGGUCCUCCCGCGGCCCCGGAGCGCACCCAGAGGCCCAGCCAGCCCGGGGGAGGCCGGGCGGGGACGCCGCCACGAGGAGACCCCGGGCCACCGCCGCUCAGGACUCCUCCCCGCGGUCCCCGCUCCUUGCACCUGCCUGCGGGCGCCCGGGCUUGAGUUCGAAACUGACCAAAGAAGAGCUCCCCAAGGACCCUUUGUCCUCAAGGUGUUAUGCUUGAAAUGACUGCACAUAAGCUCAGGACGGGGCACAGCUGGGAUGUCACCCUGGAGACUCUUUCUUGGCGCAGGUGUAAUGUUGACAUUUCUUGUGCGAAUCAAUAAAUGAAUUUCUAACCCAGUUGAACUUUUCAUAUCCAGCUUUUCGAACUCAUGACAUAGCGUGGGGACCGGUGGAGGUGUGCCCUCAGGCUGCCGCUGCCACAGCCCAUGGCCAGGCUUCCAGAGAGAUGAGUCCAGGGUGCCCAGACCUGGGGCCGCCCGCUCAACACACCUGCCUGGCCGGGCCUCUGCUUUAACUUGAGACUUCCACGCUUGCUUUGAAUUUAUUUUGAUUUUUAUUCCAGAACAAGUGGAACAGACCAAAUGAGAAGCACAUUCACUCUUAUCCGACAGGUGUGUCUUGGGUGCCUACCGGGGCCAGAGCGUGCCAGGCAUUGAGGCCUCAGUCAACUGGGGCCUUGCCUUUGCAGAAUCCACAGAGCAAGAGGCUUGCGGCAAGAGCGGAAGGGACUUGAGUUCAUGUCCUGGGGCGGCCAUAACAAAGACCUGGGGGCCUUAAGACAAUGGAUGUUUAUGGUCUCACAGGUCUGGAGGCCACAGGUCUAGAUCAAGAUGCUGGCGGGCCGUGCUCCUUCUGAAGCCUCCAGGGGAGAAUGGGUUUCGUGCCCUUCUCUCAGCUUGCCCUUCUCUCAGCUUGUGGCGUCGCUGGCAAUCCUGGGUGUUUCUUAGCUUGUAGGUGCAUCGCUCUAAUAGGCCUCCGUCGUCACCUGGCCUGUGUGCGUUCACAUCACCUCUCCGUGUGUCUGUGUCUCUGUGUCCCCCCCUCUUGUAAGGACACCAGUCAUGUUGGAUUUAGGCUGUACCCUACUCCGGGAGGACUUCAACGGAACUGACUGUAUCCGCAAUGAUCCUAUUCCCAAGUAAGGCCAUGUUCAGAGCUUCAGGGAGGGACAUGAGUUUGUGGGGCGGGGCAGGGCGGGAACGGAGGG